rnacentral:rRNA from 1 species
GACGAACGCUGGCGGCGUGCUUAACACAUGCAAGUCGAACGAUGAAGCUGGAGCUUGCUCUGGCGGAUUAGUGGCGAACGGGUGAGUAACACGUGAGAAAUCUGCCCUUGACUCUGGGAUAACUGCGGGAAACUGUAGCUAAUACCGGAUACUUUCCCUGGUGGGCAUCCACUGGGGAAGAAAGAAUUUCGGUCAAGGAUGAUCUCGCGGCCUAUCGGCUUGUUGGUGAGGUAAUGGCUCACCAAGGCGACGACGGGGAGCCGGCCGGGGAGGGUGACCGGCCACACUGGGACUGAGACACGGCCCAGACUCCUACGGGAGGCAGCAGUGGGGAAUAUUGCACAAUGGGCGCAAGCCUGAUGCAGCAACGCCGCGUGAGGGAUGAAGGCCUUCGGGUUGUAAACCUCUUUUAGCAGGGAAGAAGCGAAAGUGACGGUACCUGCAGAAAAAGCACCGGCUAACUACGUGCCAGCAGCCGCGGUAA